rnacentral:lncRNA from 13 species
CCUAGUCCCUGGCUGUGCCUGGGUGCCCCAAAUGUCACCAUGGUGGCACCUGGCAGGGCGUGUUCCAGGCAAAUCACAGAGGUGAACUUUCCUGAUAUCGUCGAGAAUUCCUACACCCAGCAGGAAGAGACCAAACCGAGUUUCAGAGACAGCAAAAAUAGACUUCUUCUGAGCCAGGUGGCCUACUUCCAGAACUACCAGCUGAAGACAGACAAAGAUCGAAAAGAUUACGAUGAAGAACAGAAAUACAGAGACCGCAAAAAUAAACUUUUUUUGAGUCAAGUGGCCUACUACCUGGGCUGCCGGCAUAAGACGGAAGUCCCUGGCUUUCUGUGUUGUGCCCAAAAAGUCAACAUGGUGGCAUCUGGCAGGCCUCCUUUUAGAAUAAACCAAGAGGUGAACGUUCCAGAAGGCAUUGAGAAAUCCGGCUCACAACAGGAAGAAAACAAACCGAAUGUCGGAGCCAGCAAAAACAGACUUCUGAGCCAGGUGGCCUACUUCCAGAACUACCGGAUGAAGACAGACAGUAGGUUCUGUAGGUUGUCCACCUCGAAAGUGAUCAACGAUGUCCUGUGUUGUUUUGAGAAACUAACAGUUCUCUUCAUCAAAAUUAAUUUCAUUCUUCCCAUACCUGUAGAAAUUAGCAAUGGGUAUUUUAACAUUUUGUUAAAGAUGGAAGACAGAAGCCAAAGUAGUUAGCAACUUUUCCACGUCUGCAGUAAGGUGGGUGUACAACUGGGGUCACAAUCCCAGCUAUCAAUUUCUGAGGCAGGCACAGAACAACCUGUUUUUCUCAGCAAGAGACCAAAUCCAUGUUUACAGGAAUUCUCUCUGUACAGUAAAAGAUCCUGCCGACAAGUAGCAUCUAGUCUGUUGGUCAAAAUGUCUAAGGCUACUGCACUUCCAUUUGCUUCUGGUUUUCUGAGGCCCAGUAGGCAAAGCUCUGUUCUGGGGACACUGGGGGAAAUGUGGUGAUAGCACGCAAUACCUCCUGUGGAGAGCUAGAAGGGGAAUCCGCUCCAAUAACAUCUGUGGUAUGUG